UACGAAGGGGGCUAGCGUUGCUCGGAAUCACUGGGCGUAAAGGGCGCGUAGGCGGAUCUUUAAGUCGGGGGUGAAAGCCCAGGGCUCAACCCUGGAAUUGCCUUCGAUACUGAAGAUCUCGAGACCGGAAGAGGUUAGUGGAACUGCGAGUGUAGAGGUGAAAUUCGUAGAUAUUCGCAAGAGCACCAGUGGCGAAGGCGGCUAACUGGUCCGGUUCUGACGCUGAGGCGCGAAAGCGUGGGGAGCAAACAGG
rnacentral:rRNA from 1 species